rnacentral:rRNA from 1 species
CUACGGGAGGCUCCAGUGAGGAAUAUUGCACAAUGGGGGGAACCCUGAUGCAGCAACGCCGCGUGGAGGAUGACGCAUUUCGGUGUGUAAACUCCUUUUAUAUGUCAAGAAAAUGACGGUAGCAUAUGAAUAAGCACCGGCUAACUCCGUGUCAGCAGCCGCGGUAAUACGGAGGGUGCAAGCGUUACUCGGAAUCACUGGGCGUAAAGGACGCGUAGGCGGGUUGGAAAGUCAGGUGUGAAAUCCUACAGCUUAACUGUAGAACUGCACUUGAAACUUCUAAUCUAGAGUAUGGGAGGGGGAGAUGGAAUUAGUGGUGUAGGGGUAAAAUCCGUAGAUAUCACCAGGAAUACCUAAAGCGAAGGCGAUCUCCUGGAGCAUUACUGACGCUAAGGCGUGAAAGCGUGGGGAGCAAACAGGAUUAGAUACCCGUGUAGUC